CUCCCAAACACAAAUCCUGCAUGGAGGGUCUGAACAAAGAAACACAGACAGAUCAGACCAAGUCUUCCAACACGUUUGUUAAACAUCUGUGGGCACUGAAACUGAUUCACCCUUUCUGCUGGAGAAGACCUGGAGCUUGUUAAAUCCUCUGCUGUUUCACCUGAGCAUCUUCAGAAGACUGUUAAUAAAGGACUUUUAUAGCGAAUCUGUGUGAGAUGCUACACUCAGCACGGACUUUCCUUGAUGGAUCUAUGACCUCUGAGGGAAUUUAAAACCCGCUGCAGUCAGUGAUGGGAAGUUUCAUCGCUUCAGUUUGAGAACGUCACAACAGCAAAGCUUUCACCUGAGAACAGACUGGACUUCUGCACCAGGCAGCGAGAGACAGUCGGGGAAGUGACAGCUUUCACAGCGUGGUAGCUCAGCCUCACCAACAGUUAUGGAAGCAGCACCUAUCAAUCCCAGAACUCAUCCGGCAGUGCAUUUGCAUCCGUCGUCAGGCUGCCAUCCUCAAACUUCCAAACUUGCUGUUUGCAGAAGUUUAAACUCGCCGUCUUCUGAAGCUAUUUUGAACUGCAGCUGCCAAUUAUCCUGCCCUCGCUCAUGUUCACCUGCGAUGCCAAGUGACACAAGGCUAUGCUAUGGAGGCUGCAUAUACAGUCCAGCAGUCUUGACACAUCACUGGCAAACUGACAGAAUGUGACAUAUGGGACGAGGUUUGCACUGCAUCACCUGUGGCAUCCAAUGGGGGAAUGAAGACGGCACUUCAAACAUUAAGGCCACAAAACAACACAGCACACAGAGUGAGAGAGAGAGAGAGAGAGAGAGAGAGAGAGCAGGCUGCUGCUGCUUCUUCUUCUUCUUUCCAGAUCCACAAACAAAGAUAAAGUCCUUUCAUGCCAAAGAUCUCUAUUCCUGCCUCUCUCUUUUGCUCAGAGGGGUGUGUAAAAAGACGCUUUGCAUAAUCCGUCCGCAUCAGUAUGCAGUGAGCUUUAGAGAGACGGAGUAAACAGGAUUCCCCCUGGCUGUUGCUUUCACCUGCUGGAGGUGGACGGCACAAACCAAGGCCACAUUCCCAGAGCUAAAGGCUUUUCAUGCCAAGCACCAGGUUUUUCAGCUGAAAAAAAACUUACACAGCAAUGAAUUAAAUAUGACUUGAUGAAUACCAUAUGACUGUUUGUGCAAAGCCUGCAAAAAUAUUUAUGAGGGGAAAAAAUUGCGAUCAUCACACUUUUUUCUGUGAAUUUUUUUGAAUUUUGAAUCAGUCGGACACGCAUGGGGCGACUCCGGAUUCCUGUUUUGCAUGGAUUUAAAAUGCUCAACACUCCCAUGGCUUGCAUUUGCUAUUUGUUAUUUGUACUUCGCUGUUGUUAAUUCAUGUAGGCGUUCAUGAAACUGCUUUCCAACUGUCUGAUCCUCAUGUUGGCCAAACGUCUCAAACCUCGUCUCAUCUGUUCUUCCUAACAUGCCGGCUUUCAUUUUUUUAUUUGGCUGUAACUGUAAAGUUCACUGAUUUUUACUUCUUUCCCUCCACUUUGGUUUUCCAUUUAUUUACACCUUAGCAAGCUCUUUCCUUUGCUCCACCUGACCACCUCUCAUAUAUUCCAAUCUCUAACAACAG
ensembl:lncRNA